rnacentral:rRNA from 1 species
UACGGAGGGUACAAGCGUUAUCCGGAUUUAUUGGGUUUAAAGGGUGCGUAGGCGGGCUAUUAGGUCAGUGGUGAAAGCCCCAAGCUUAACUUGGGAACUGCCAUUGAUACUGAUGGUCUUGAGUACAUUUGAGGUGGGCGGAAUGUGUCAUGUAGCGGUGAAAUGCUUAGAUAUGACACAGAACACCGAUUGCGAAGGCAGCUCACUAAACUGUAACUGACGCUGAGGCACGAAAGCGUGGGGAGCAAACAGG